AGUUAAAUAGUACGUGAAAUUGUUGAAAGGGAAACGAUUGAAGCCAGUCGUACCUAUGGGUAAUCAGCCUUUUGGGUGUGAUUUUGUGGAGCGUGAAGAGUUAAACGCCUUCAUGCCUGCAUAUUCGUGCACUUUGGGUGUACUUGCCCGUAUGGUUGGUUAACAUCAAUUUUGGUGGUCAUAAAAUGACUGGAGGAAUGUAGCUUCGAUCUCGUAUUAGCCUUCGGUAGAUGUGAUGAUCGAGAUUGAGGAUUGCAACGGAUACCCUUCGGGGCUACCUGUCUGAUCUCUGAUCGUUGCUCUGGUGCCGAAAGCUUGCUUACGGUUAUCAAAGUCGAUGGUCAAUAGGUUAGAACGGGUUAAAUUCGUUAAGGAUGUUGACGUAAUGGCUUUAAA
rnacentral:misc_RNA from 1 species